GCUUAUCUUGCAGUUUCCUAAACUUAUUUGUGAAACUAGAACCUUUUGUUGAAUCAUUUUAUGAUAAUGUAUAUACUCUACAUAUAUAAAAUACAUAUUUUCUUAUUCAUGAACAAUGGUUCAAUCAACAUUAUUUUUUAAAAUAUUUAUUUUUUAGUUACAGGUGAACCACGAUAUCUUUAUUUUAUUUUUAUUUGGUACUGAGGAUGGAACCCACUGUCCCACACAUGCUAGGAGAGUACUCUACCUCUGAGCCACAACUCUAGCCCCUCAAUCAAUAUUCUCGUACAUAUAUACCAUGUAUUUAUGUAGUAUAAAUUCCUAGAAGUGAAAUUGCCAUAUCAAGAAAACAUUUGAGCUGGGCAUGGUGGCAUAUGCCUGUAAUCCCACUCACUUGGGAGGCCGAGGCAAAUUUGAGGCCAGCCUGCACAAUUUAGCAAGGCCCUAAGCAACUUAGUGAGACUGUGCCUCAAAGUAAAAAAAUAAAAAGGACUGGGAAUGUAGUUCAGUAGUAAAAGUGCCCCUGUGUACCAUCCCUAGUACCCUGUGAAAAAAGAAAAGAUUUGAAGCCAUAUAGAUAUAUAAAUAUAUGUGAAGCCAUAUAGAUAUAUAAAUAUAUAUUUAUAUUAUAUAAAUAAAUAUAUAAUAAAAUAAAUAAAAAUUACUUAUUUUUUAAUUUAGUGGUACUGGGGCUACCAUUGAGCUAUAUCCCUAACCACUUUUAUUCUUUAGUUUGAGACAGGGUCUUGCAAUUUGCCCAGGCUGACCUCAAACUUGCUAUCCUCUUGCUUCAACUUCCCUAGUUACUGGGAUUACAGGAAUAUGCCACUGUACUUGGCAUAUUUUCUUUAUAAACGCAUUGAAAAGGUCUAGAAGGCCACAGGCCAAACUUAAGAGGAGCUAUCUGUUCUGAGGGGUUUGGGUUUAGGAAGAGGAAAGGACGACAGGAAGAGAUGACAGAGGAUAAGACGACAGAGAGACCUGUGUGUUUCCAUGAGGGGUCAGUCUUCCAUUGGUGCUGUGGAGCAGCAGCUAGGUGUCUCUGUGUGGGUGUUCUGGCCUUCUGUUCAGUAUGUGUUUAUCGAGAUCAUGCAUCUUUGGUAUCCUGUCCUCAUUACAUGUUCAGAUGUGGAUUUCUUAUUCACUCUAGUUUGGAGGGGUUUCUUGAUUUUGUAGAUUCAAGUUUUCCACCCAGUCAUUUUUUAAUUUUGUUUUAUAAAUUAUUUAUUUAUUUUGUGGUACUAGGGAUUGAAUCCAGGGCCUCACCAUGCCAGGCAAGUGCUCUUUACUGAGCUACAUCCCCAGCCCCUAUUGUUUCUUCUUCUUCUUUUUUUUUAAAUAUUUAUUUUUUAGUUUUAGGUGGACACAAUAUCUUUACUUUAUUUAUAUGUGAUGCUGAGAAUCGAACCCAGUGCCUCACGCAUGCUAGGCAAGCACGCUACCACUUGAGCCACAUCCCCAGCCCCUCUAUUGUUUCCUUAAAAAUUGUUUUUCUCCAGUGGCUCAGGAGGCUGAGGCAGGAUCCAGAGGAUCACCUCAGCAACUUAGCAAGUGUUAGGGUCUGUAAACAAGUCAAGACGGCACCUGGUUUUGCCAGAGGGAGUGGUUUGUGAAGUAACACCAGCGAGCCAUUAAGUGUGGAGAUUCCUUAUUGGUUGACUGCUGUAUCUAGUUUAUGUUAAUUAAGAUAAGCUGUGUGUAAUGUAUAUAUACCCCUCCGGUCCUACAAUAAAAGGCUCCCACUCCUGUUGUAUCAAUGUACACAAGUUGCUCAUCACCCCCUGGCUAUUUUGCUGUAGCCGGACUGCGGCAGAUGGUGGUCCAUAUGGGGAGCCCAGGGACACUCUGGGGUAAGUUGACGAGGAAAAGCUGCCCGUCCCUAGAUAGGACGGAAGCAAAUCUGCUCGUCCCUAGGCAGAUAGGGCAAGAGGAAAAAUGGCCAUUUUGAGAAAAUGGAGAGGAUUGAUACAGUAUGUUUGUGUCUUGUUUUGUCUUGAAAUGUUGUAUUGUCUUUGUGACGAAAAUAUGGAAGGGGUGAGAAGUAAAUUACUAAGGGAAGAAGGCACGCCAGUGGAACCAAGAAUAGUUAUGGCAUGUGUUGAUGGAAGCCCAGGAACUCUAGUCAGAAAGAAGAAAGUUCAGAGGAGGAAGGAUUAUCAGGAAAAAAGUUGCAGCAAAAGGCUAUUACUAAAUACUUUUCGUUACCGGAGGGUGCGUGAAUCGUCGCAGUGGCUGCUGCCACGUGCACGAGCCGGUCAUGGCGCAGCAAGGACUUUCCAAGCCAGCCGGCUCUUCCUCACCCCCCCCCCCCACGCCCGGGGAGCGGGACGCCACUGUGAGAGCCCAAAUCCAAACCUGACCCAGAGGCACAGUCUCACAGGCUCUUGCUCCCUGUGCCCAGUGGCAGUUUGAGUCCGGGACACUCCCCGGACUCUCCCCAGGGCCAUCUGGGGAUGCCCGGGAUGCUGCAGGCGGAAGACGGCUGCAUCCCUGAAGUUUGAUCAUUUCCAAGGCCAGUAACUACAUGGUUCUCCCACACCUGGAAGCUAAUGAGUAAUGAGCACUAUUAAGGCUUAUUUCAAAAGUAAAAAACCUUGAGAUAAUGUACUAAAUUGUUCAGAAGGUUGUUUUCUUAGGGCCUGCUGGAAUACUACAGGAUAUUCUUUAGCAUCAUUGCCGGAGUUCCUGCCUUCAUCCCAGUGCCAGUGAGGACGAGGGUGGAAGGAUUUCCAGUGUUGCUGAAAACCGGACAAAACUUCGGCUGAAAACCGGACGAGACUUCAGAUCAAGCUAGCUGCCUGCAGAACUUACCUGAACUGUGAUUUAAGCUAGCUGCUUGCAGAACUUACCUGGACUGUGAACUUACCUGGACUGUGAUUUACCUGGACUGUGAGUUAAUCUAUUGAGACACUUCUUUACCUGGACUGAGACAACAAACUGUAAUCUACAACAAAUUGUAACUCGGUAUCUUUGCUAAAGGUGUCAUUGCUGGUAUAAUUUUUCCAAGGGCUUCUUGCAUGGAGCCAUCAAUUGGCUUGAUAUUGUGGCAUUUUGUAUCCUCCCCUUCUGCUUGUAGCAGAUUAUUUAUGGUGUUUGUGUAAAAACCACUAUGGUCGUUAUUUAAAUUAAAUAAAAGGGGGAAAUGUUAGGGUCUGUAAACAAGUCAAGACAGCGCCUGGUUUUGCCAGAGGGAGUGGUUUGUGAAGUAACACCAGCGAGCCAUUAAGUGUGGAGAUUCCUUAUUGGUUGACUGCUGUAUCUAGUUUAUGUUAAUUAAGAUAAGCUGUGUGUAAUGUAUAUAUACCCCUCCGGUCCUACAAUAAAAGGCUCCCACUCCUGCUGUAUCAAUGUACACAAGUUGCUCGUCACACCCCGCCCCGCUAUUUUGCUGCAGCCGGACUGCGGCAAGCAAGGACCUAAGCAACUUAGAGAGACCCUGACUCAAAGUUAAAAAAAUAAAAACCAGGUUGAGGAUGUGGCUCAGUGGUUGAAUGCCCCUGGGUUCAAUCCCUAGUAUAAAUAAAAAGUACUUUUCCUCCAUUCUCUCUAUCCCUUCUUUCUGGGGCUCAAAUUUGAUGUUAGAUCUUCUUAUUAUGUUCUCUUUCUGCUUCUUUCAC
rnacentral:lncRNA from 1 species